UAAUGCCCUUGGUAUCUAAUGUCAAGAACUGUAUUAUAUGUCUUGAUGUUUCGUUUUUGAUGGCACAAAACAACUUGAACAGACCUUGCGACACAGAUUGCUUCUCUAUAAGUUUUCUGUUACUAAUUUCCUGUCUACAUAU